rnacentral:rRNA from 1 species
GUGCCAGCAGCCGCGGUAAUACGAGGGGAGCUAGCGUUGUUCGGAAUUACUGGGCGUAAAGGGCGUGUAGGCGGUACCAUAAGUCAGAUGUGAAAGCCCUGGGCUUAACCUAGGAGGUGCAUUUGAUACUGUGGAACUAGAGAUCGGGAGAGGAAAGCGGAAUUACGAGUGUAGAGGUGAAAUUCGUAGAUAUUCGUAAGAACACCAGUGGCGAAGGCGGCUUUCUGGCCCGAUACUGACGCUAAGGCGCGAAAGCGUGGGGAGCAAACAGGAUUAGAUACCCCGGUAGUCC